CAUAAAAGGAGCCUGGGCGCUUUUUAAAUAAUACGAUCGACACUUCAUCAAGUCACCAGCAUAUAUGACCCGUCACUUUACAGUCAGAGCACAACCUCAUUGCCUGCACAAUGCUGCAAACACUGGUGCCAACAGAUCUGCCUCAGCUCCCUGUUCACCCUCCUCUUGAGAUUCCUCCACGGCCUGAUGAAGAAGAGAAAGAGAAGCAAGGAAAGUUUGCACCUGUCAGAGCUGCAGGGGCACUAACAGGCUUUGAUGGCCCUGACCAACCUCAGCUGGGCCUCUGCCCACACCCUGCCCAUGGACCCAGCCCAUUUAAGCUCAGCCUUGGGGUCUUCACAGUUUUUGCUGGUGUUGCAGAGGUGCUGCUCUCUAGCUCAGCUGCAGCCAUGCCUCUCCCUGACCAUGCACCCCGGUGAUUUGGACCCUAACCUGUGGAUGGACUUCGUGACUUGCCUCAGACCUGCUGCAUCACCGCAGUUACUGAUGGGCUGCCAUCCCCAGCCCUGCUUGCUGUGCUCGGGUAUCAAGAGACUGCACCCUGGCUGCUGAGGCCCCUGCUCUUCAUCUGUGUUGAGCGUGGUUCCUGGCUUGUCGGGAGCAGCUGACCCCCGCUGUAUUCAAACAGUAAGUCUUCUCCUGCCAAUAAAACUGCUCCUGUUGGUGUGCAUCAUAGCUGAAACAAAAGCUGUCAACAAAUCCAAAAGCUUUCAAUCAAAAUUGGUAAUACAAAACUUUGGGUUGCUUUGGGUAUCAAUGUAGUGUGUAGAGGAAGCCUUUGCUCUGUUUGACUUGGGGGAUGACUUACAUUUGAGUUAAAAGGGCUGAUUUUGUCUCUUCAUCUAGCCAAAAUACCCUUCUUAAAUCUUCAAAGUCACAAAAAAAAGGGGAGCUGGCACCAAGCAAUGUGGUUAUAUGGAUUUUAGCAGUGCAUUGUACUGUUCUUUUGGCUAUGGCAUGCAAAGCAAACUUACUGAACUGUCAAUCCCAUCACUUCUUCUUGAUUGUGGCUGCCAACCGGCACAGACCUGUGUGCUGUGCAUGUAGCAAACACAUCACCUGCCCACCCCAACACUGCGCUGCUCCCCAGCUCUGCCCAAAUCCCUCCGUACGAGGUGACCGCGGGUAAAUAGCGAAGGGACUC
rnacentral:lncRNA from 1 species